rnacentral:rRNA from 1 species
AAUACUGCAGAGCUAGGGAGUGGGAGAGGUAGACGGUACUCGGGAGGAAGUGGUAAAAUGCUUUGAUCUCUCGAUGACCACCUGUGGCGAAGGCGGUCUACCAGAACACGUCCGACGGUGAGGGAUGAAAGCUGGGGGAGCAAACCGGAUUAGAUACCCGGGUAGUCCCAGCUGUAAACUAUGCAAACUCAGUGAUGCAUUGGCUUGUGGCCAAUGCAGUGUUGCAGGGAAGCCGUUAAGUUUGCCGCCUGGGAAGUACGUACGCAAGUAUGAAACUUAAAGGAAUUGGCGGGGGAGCACCACAAGGGGUGAAGCCUGCGGUUCAAUUGGAGUCAACGCCAGAAAUCUUACCCGGAGAGACAGCAGAAUGAAGGUCAAGCUGAAGACUUUACCAGACAAGCUGAGAGGUGGUGCAUGGCCGUCGCCAGCUCGUGCCGUGAGAUGUCCUGUUAAGUCAGGUAACGAGCGAGAUCCCUGCCUCUAGUUGCCACCAUUACUCUCAGGAGUAGUGGGGCGAAUUAGCGGGACCGCCGCAGUUAAUGCGGAGGAAGGAAGGGGCCACGGCAGGUCAGUAUGCCCCGAAACUCUGGGGCCACACGCGGGCUGCAAUGGUAAUGACAAUAGGUUCCGAAUCCGAAAGGAAGAGGCAAUCCCUAAACAUUACCACAGUUAUGACUGAGGGCUGCAACUCGCCCUCACGAAUAUGGAAUCCCUAGUAACUGCGUGUCAUUAUCGCGCGGUGAAUACGUCCCUGCUCCUUGCACACACCGCCCGU